UAAAGAAAACAUAUGUUAACAAAUUUGUUUCAUAUAGUGAAACCGUCAAACUUAGGAAAAAAUUAAAAUGAAAACAAAAAAUAAGGCAAGUUAACACAUUCAACAUCUACUGAUCUACAUCACGUUUCAUGUGAGAUUAAACUUACAUCUACAUCCCAAAAGAAAACAUAUAAACUUACAGCUGCUCUGAAGACACGGGAGGGAGGCAGAGCCGCAGGCGCCAGGCAGAGGUGGUGGCAGUGGCGCUGGACCUGCUGGUGCAGCUCGAAGGCUGAGAGUCCGAGAGAGGCAAGAGUGAGAGACGACGAUAGACAGAGAGACGGAGAGGCAGCAACCUAGCAGGGAGGGAAUCGCAGACGAGAGACUGAGAGACGAUGAUAGCAGAUUCAGCGUGGCUAGCAACCUAGCAGGGGGGGUGGGAAUCGCAGCCGAGAGAGUGAGAGACGACGAUAGCGGAGAGUGCCGAGACUCGAGAGGCAGAUUCAGCGUGGGCCGUGGCUACUGGUGCUGGCCGCUGGGUGCUGGCUAGCUGCGUAGCAGUAGCAGGGGGGUGGGGGAAUCCCAGACGACUAGACAAGACGCACGGGGAUGGCGCAAGGAGUCAAGAACACUAGGGCAGAGUCGCAGAGAGAAGAAGAGAAAUGAGGAAUUGGACGGCGGAGUGAAAGUGAAAACCCUAAAUCCCUAAUCCCCUAUAUUAGUCAUAUUAUAUAUAUUUUUUAUUAUAACUCGGUUUUUCGGUUUUUUUCAGUUCGGUUUCAACAUAAAUCGAAACCGAAACCGAAUAUUUUGAUUUUUGAAAACCGAAACCAAAAACCAAAAAUUUGUUCAAUUUUAGUUUGCAAAUAUAAUGGAUUUGAAGUAGCUAGCAGUUUAGGUUGAUAAGUUCACUGUUGUUGAACUAGUACAAGAUAUUUUUUCCCCUUACAGAUACAGUCUGCAUUACCAGUUCUUCAUAGACUAAUUCAUUUGGAAACGCACCGCCUAAUGGACAAUAUAUACAGGGAGGCGUGCUUAGCCCUAUCUUACUUGUCAGAUGCUCCUAUUGAGCAAAUUCAGUGUGUGGUGGAUGCAAAUAUUUGUGGGAGGCUCGUGAUUCUUCUUGAGUAAGUUUGUUCAUAUGUCCACAAUGUACAUGUAUGAAAGGAUCUACUUGUAUCAUUCAUAGAAUGAGGCAACAAUACUUCCACAUGUUCUAGAAUUCAUUUUACAAAAUAAAUCCCUAGAGAACUGCAUAUUUGGAUCCAGCCAAUACAUAUUUAUCCCCAAUGCUUCUAUCCCAUGACACUCCCUUUGUUGCUACCCUGUGACCCAUAGCAUGAUUUAAUCUGUCAAAAUCACAUGAUUUUUUUGCCUGUGUAUGCAUUCUGUUAGUUACCUUUUAUGGUCGGUUUUUUUAACCACUUCUAUUAAUGUUAAUUGUGUUUCUGCCAGUCAUACAUUUAGAAAGGUUGUCCAAGCAGCGCUUUGGACAAUUAGGAACAUCUUUAAGGAUAAUGAUUCUCAGUUUCAGGUAUUUCUUGAUUUGUAUAGGUUUGAAUGUUCUUACAGCAGCAUCUUUUGCAUGUGAUAGUGUGUUCAUUAAUGUGCUUGGUCCUAAUUAAGGCCCCCUUGGUUCUAACAUAAGGUUUCCCACUCCCCCAAAAUUAAAAUAAUGCCCAGUUUGAAUUAUAUUAAAGAAGGUAAUUUGGACACAUUAUUUUCGAAAUGACCGUGUGGUGUUGGUAUAUGUUUAACUGUACUGCAUAUUUUAACAUAAAAUAGCUACAAGGAAAAUUUGAUAUCUUAUUCUCUCUCUCUCUCUCUACAUAUAUAUCUAAUGAAAUGGGGGUAGAUCCAACACAGUUGCUGUGUUCCAGGUUCUAAUUGAGUGUCAGGUAUUCCCAGCUCUACUUAAUAUUAUCAACCAGGAAGCCCUAAAUGACCAUCUCUUGAAAGACAUUUGUUGGGCAAUCUCAACCAUCACAGCAGGAAAUAAGGAUAGAAUACAGGUACAUGGUGAAUGAAGGCUGCUUUGAAGUGUUUUGUAAUCAUCUAUUGUUUGUUUGCACUGGUCCAUGUCUUAGGGGGCUCAAAAAUAUCCUUCAGGCAGGAGAUGCUGAGAAGGUUGGUGUGAUCAAUAUUCACGCACAAAUGAUCAAAGACUUUGGUGGAUUCCAGAAAAUUGAAGCUCUGAAGACCGAUCCGGGCCUUGGCGAGAUGGCUUCAAAGAUCAUGAAGAAGUAUUGGCUAAGCGAAUGAGAAGAAGACAUUGGUAAUAAUACUGUGAGUCAUUCCAGAUCAAUGAAAUGACAUACUUUUGUUUGUUAGUACCCUGUAGACUGUUGAAGAAAUUAAACUUGGUAUUUUUUUUAGCCUCUUGGUAGCAUGACAUGACUGUAUUAAGUGCAAUCUUGCUGUACUCUGUAUUGUUGUCAUUCCACACAUCACCAACAAAGCUUAUUAGGCACGCCGCCAGUGCCAUCACUUGCCAAA